rnacentral:lncRNA from 1 species
GUGAUUGAUUGUCCUUAAGUUUCAAUUUCAUAGCCUUGAAACAUUUACAGGCUUAGAUUUUGGUUUGCUUAUGUAGGUACCACGGGCAUUAGGGCCACCUCAGUCUCAUGGACUCCUUGUUUAAUUCAACACUACCUUUGUGUGUGGCUUUCAGAGAAGACCCCUGAAUAUCUGAAUGGAAGAUUCCAACGGUAGACCAGAGCAGCACAUCAGGCAGUUGAAAACCACCACGUGACCAAUAGAUCAUUGGCAUAUUAAAGUGGCAGUAUACAGUGGACAUCCAGAAACAAAAGUAAACACUAGCA